UGCAGUUAACAGAAUUGAUAAAGAACGGAUCCGUUAAGCAAGGAGAUGUUAGCAAACUUCUAUGCGAAGAUUUGAGCGUGCACUGCAGCAGCGGGUUCGAGUGAUAGCGAUUCAGAUUCUGAUGGUAAUGAUGAACUAUAGAUCAUUGAAAUCAUCGUGGUUCAGUGGGAGAAGAGUUUUUAUGGAGAAAAAAGUUCCCAUGGGCUGCAGCAAACUGAAACGUGACUGUUUAAUUGAGAUUGCUUUCUGUAACUU